rnacentral:rRNA from 1 species
AGUGAACGCUGGCGGUAGGCCUAACACAUGCAAGUCGAACGGCAGCACAGUAAGAGCUUGCUCUUACGGGUGGCGAGUGGCGGACGGGUGAGGAAUACAUCGGAAUCUACUUUUUCGUGGGGGAUAACGUAGGGAAACUUACGCUAAUUCCGCAUACGACCUACGGGUGAAAGCAGGGGAUCUUCGGACCUUGCGCGAUUGAAUGAGCCGAUGUCGGAUUAGCUAGUUGGCGGGGUAAAGGCCCACCAAGGCGACGAUCCGUAGCUGGUCUGAGAGGAUGAUCAGCCACACUGGAGCUUGGACACGGUCCAGACUCCUACGGUAGGCAGCAGUGUGGAAUAUUGGACAAUGGGCGCAAGCCUGAUCCAGCCAUACCGCGUGGGUGAAGAAGGCCUUCGGGUUGUAAAGCCCUUUUGUUGGGAAAGAAAAGCAGCAGGUUAAUACCCCGCUGUUCUGACGGUACCCAAAGAAUAAGCACCGGCUAACUUCGUG